rnacentral:rRNA from 1 species
GACGAACGCUGGCGGCGUGGAUUAGGCAUGCAAGUCGAACGGUAUCAUCCUUUCGGGGGUGAGAGAGUGGCGAACUGGUGAGUAACACGUAGGUUAUCUACCCUCAAGACGGGGACAACCCAGGGAAACUUGGGCUAAUACCGGAUGUGAGCAACUUUUAGUUGUUUGAAAGGUGGCGUAAGCUGUCGCUUGGGGAUGAGCCUGCGUCCUAUUAGUUAGUUGGUGAGGUAACGGCUCACCUAGGCAAUGAUAGGUAGGCGGCCUUAACGGGUGGUCGCCCACACUGGGAUUGAGAUACGGCCCAGACUCCUACGGGAGGCAGCAGUCGAGAAUAGUCUACAAUGGUCGGAAGACUGAUAGUGCGACGCCGCGUGAACGAUGAAUCCCUUCGGGGUGUAAAAGUUCUUUUAUAUGUGAGCAGUGCUUCUUAUAUUAACAGUAUGGGGAAGAGAUAUUAGCAUAUGAAUAAGCAACGGCUAAACUCCGUGCCAGCAGCCGCGGUAA